UUACGGAAGUAAAACAAUUUAAAACAGAAUUAGAGUAAUAAGACAGUGUUUAAAAGUGCCGCUCGGCAUACACAAUAUUUAACUCUCAGAAACCAAUACAUAUCUCCAAGACCCGAAAACCCAUGAAUCACAAGAUAAGGAUCACUACAUAGUGCUCUAACUCCAUAAUAGUCUAAAACCAAUGAAAUACAGAAGGGCGAUAACUAUGAGAGAGAGUGGAGAGAGACUCCUUGGUCUGCGGAUGUAGUAGGUAUACCUCGAAGUCUCCAAAUGAUCGCCUCACCUCAAGGAUGGUAAGCCUGAGUCAAGGUACCUGGAUGUUCACAUGAAAAACAUACGCAGAAAGGGCAUGAGUACACCACAGCAGUACUCAGUAAGUGCCAAGCCUAACCUCAGUCGGGUAGUGACGAGGAAGGUCAGGGCCCUACUGAGGUUAAAUAAAAUACAAAGUAUAACAAUGUAGAACAAGAUAGUAUAAUUAAGUGCAACAGUAAGAAAUAACAUAGAAUAAAAAUAGCAACAACAACUAGAACAGAGGCAAAAUAAUCACAGAAAGGAAAUACAACUCAACACAGAGAUAACAACCGGGGUACCUUCAAAGAUACCAUCCUGUAGUCCCAAUUAUAGCUAUCCAGUGGAUCUCCCGGGAUCCCGGCCCGUAGUCCAACAAUCAGUGCGCGAGGAUCUACUGGAAUCCUGAUCCGUAGUCCCAAAUAUAAAUACCAGUACUGGGGGAAUCUACCGGGUGAAGUCCCGUAGUUCCAUAUAACUAUGCAGGGGGAUCUACUAGAAUCCCACAUCCGUAGUCCCAAAUAAACAGACAAGGGGAAUCUACCGGAGUCCCACAUCUGUAAUCCCAAUGUAAAUACACAGCAGCAACAGGAAAUUAUUCAGAAAUGGCGAAUUUCAUAUUAAGGCAACAAGUAAUUCUAGCCUAGCAUGCUGCAUAGAAUAAAUGUAAGGCAGUUUUAGAAAAUAAAGCAAUUAAAUCACUUAGACAUGCUUUCCUAAGCUACGACAGGCUUAAUAAUGCGAGUAAUAAAAACAAGAAAAGAAACAUACUAGUAAUUACUUAAUGAAAACCGGAUUUUCAAUAAUUAGCACAAGUACGCACUCGUAUCCUCACGUACAAGGAAUUUCAAUUACCAAUUAUACCAAAUCCUAAGGUGAAAGGUCCCCCACACAAGGUUAGGUAAACCACUUACCUCGAACCGGCUCAAUAAUCAAUCUGAAACCAUGCUCUUGCCACGAGUACUCGACUCCAAAUUACCCAAAUUUAUUCAAUUUGAUUGCAAUAAAUAACACUUUAAGUAACUGAUUCUACAAAGAAAUUCUAAGCUAAUACGCAAAAUUAGGUAAAAUGACCAAAAAGCCCAUCGGGCCCAUAUCUCGAAAUUGGGUAAAAUUUACAUUUUCAGAAACCUCGUACUCUCACGAGUCUAUACAUAACAAGAACACUGAAAUCGAAGUUUAAUUGGCCCCUCAAAUACCCAUGUUAAGGUGUCUUAAUCUCAAGCCCUAAUUACCCAUUUUCCCCAAAUUUCUCACCACAUGUUAAGCUGUCUUAAUCUCAAGCCCUAAUUACCCAUUUUCCCCAACUUUCUCACCACCAAUUAGGUCCUUUAUCACAUAUAAACGAGUUAUGAAGUUAAAAAUGUUACUUCCAAGUGAUUCCCCUUGAAUCCCUCUUCAAUCCUCUUCAAAGAGCUCCAAAAUCGCUCAAAAUUGGUGGAAGAUAACCUCAAAAUGGUGGACCAAAUGACUAUUUAAACAUUCAUCCCAGGCAUCAAAUCCUUCUUCGCGAACACGGUCAACGCCUCGCGUUCGCAAAGCACAAAUUUACUUUGACUAAAAUUCCUUCAUCGCGAUCGCGACACAGCUCGCGAACGUGAAGGCUUAGCUCUGUACUCAACGCGAAUGUGACGUCCCCCCGCAAACGGGAAGGACAAAUCAACCUCAACCCAACCGCCCAACUUUCCUCUAUGCGAACGCAGUAUCACCUCGCGAAGGCGAUGCACAAGACCCCAGCCCCUUCGUGAACGGGGAGACUCCCUCGUGAACGCGAAGGCUAAAUCCUUAGCCUCACCUGCUAACCCUUCGCGAACGCGAGGGCCUACUCGUGAACAAGAGGGCCUACUCAGGAACGCGAAUGUCAUUUUUCUGCAACACCUAACAGUAGUUUUCUGCAGUUUUUCACAACUUGAAAUGGUCCGAUUGACCACCCGAAACAGACCCUAGGCCUCCGGGACCUCAACCAAACCUGCCAACUAAUCCUAAAACAUCGUUCAAACUAUUUCCAACCUUUGGAAUGCUCAAAACAACAUCGAAACACCUAUUUUUCAUCGGAUCCAAGCCUAAGAAUUCCAAAAACCCCUAAAAAUAUGCUUUCGAUCAAAAAGUCUAUCAAACCUCGUCUGAAUGACCUGAAAUUUUGCACACACGCCACAUUAAACACUAUGGAGCUACUCCAACUUCCAAAAUGCCAUUCCCACCCUCAGAUCAAAAUCUCACUAUCGAACCGAAAACUUCAAAAAUUCAACUUUCGGCAUUUCAAGCUUAAAUUAGAUACGGCCCUCCAAAACACAAUUCGAACACACCCCUAAGCCCAAAAUCACCUAACGAAGCUAACAGAACUAUCAGAUUUCCAUUCCGAGGCCAUCUUCACACUGUUAUGACAACAGUCAACUUUUCAACACUUAAGCUCUCAUUUAGGGACAAAGUAUCCCAAAACUCUCCAAAACUCAACCGAACAUCCCGGCAAAUCAAAAUAGCAGAAAUAAACUCGGGAAAAGUAGUUAAUAGAGGAUCGGGGCAUAAAUUCUUAAAUGACCGACCGGGUCGUCAUAUCCUCCUACACUUAAACAUUCGUUCGUCCUCGAACGAGCAUAAAGACAUACCUGAAGUAGUGAAAAGAUGAGGGUAACAGCUGCGCAUAUCCUGCUCAGUCUCCCAGGUCACCUCCUCGACCGGCUGACCCCGCCACUAAACCUUUACUGAUAAAAGGUUCUUUGACAUCGGCUUUCUAACCUUCCUGUCCAAUAUUGCCACUGGUUCCUCAAAAUAGGAUAGAUCCUUGUCCAACUAGACUGAACUAAAAUCCAACACGUGCGACGGAUCACUGUGAUACCUCCGGAGCAUCNNNNNNNNNNNNNNNNNNNNNNNNNACUCAACUCCUUUUUUUCCCAAAUCUCAUAACGCCCUUUAUAGGCGAAACCCGAAGCAGAACCCGCUCUCCAACCAUAUAGGAAAUAUCACGAACCUUCCGGUCCACGUAACUCUUCUGUCUGGACUGGGCUAUACGGAGUCUAUCCUGAAUCACUUUAACCUUCUCCAAGGCAUCCUGAACCAGGUCUGUGCCCAACAAUCUAGCCUCACCCGGCUUAAACCAACCCACCGGGGAUCUAUACCGCCUACCGUAUAAAGCCUCGUACGGUGCCAUUUGAAUGCUGGACUGAUAGCUGUUGUUGUAGGAAAACUCUGCCAAUGGCAAGAACUGAUACCAAGACCCUCCAAACUCAAUCACAUUCGUAUGGAGCAUAUCCUCAAGAAUCUAAAUAGUGCGCUCGGACUACCCGUCCCUCUAAGGGUGAAAUAUUGUACUCAACUCCACCUGAGUACCCAACUCAUGCUGAACGGCUCUCCAGAAUCGUGAUGUGAACUAAGUACCUCUAUCUAAAAUGAUGGAAAUUGGAAUACCAUGCAGACAAACAAUAUCCCAGAUAUAGAUCUUUGCCAAACGCUCCGAAGAAUAAGUAGUACACACAGGAAUAAAGUGAGCGGACUUGGUCAGUUGAUCCACAAUCACCCAAAUAGCAUCGAACUUUCCAAAGUCCGUGGGAGCCCAACUACAAAGUCCAUGGUGAUCCACUCCCACUUCCACUCCGGAAUCUCUAUCUGUUGAAGCAACCCACCUGGUCUCUGGUGCUCAUACUUCACCUGCUGACAAUUGAGGCACCGAGCUACAAAUCUAACUAUAUCUUUCUUCAUCCGUCUCCACCAGUAGUGCUGCCUCAAAUCCUGAUACAUCUUCGCGCCACCCGGAUGAAUAGAAUACCGCGAGCUAUGGGCCUCAUAUAGAAUCAACUCUCGAAGCCUAUCAAUAUUUGGUACACAAAUCCGACCUUCCAUCCUCAAUACCUCAUCAUCACCAAUAGUCACAUCUCUGGCAUCACCGUGCUGAACCUUGUCCUUGAGGGCAAGCAAAUGAGGGUCAUCAUACUGCCGCUCCCUGAUACGAUCAAAUAAGGAAGAUCGAGAAACCACGCAAGCUAGAACUCGACUAGGCUCCGAAAGAUCCAAUCUCACUAACUGGCUGGCUAAGGCCUGAACAUCCAUCGCCAUAGGCCUCUCCGAUGCUGGUAAAUAAUCCAAACUCACCAAACUCUCUGCUCGGUGACUCAAAGCAUCGGCCACCACAUUGGCUUUUCCGAAGUGAUACAAAAUAGUGAUGUCAUAGUCCUUCAGCAACUCUAACCACCUCCUCUGGUACAAAUUUAGAUCCUUUUGCUUGAACAAGUGCUGCAAGCUCUGAUGGUCAGUAUAAGUCUCACAAGGCACACUAUAUAAAUAAUGGUGCCAGAUCUUCAGGGCGUGAAUAUUGGCAGCUAACUCAAGGUCGUGAACAGGGUAUUUCUUCUCAUGUAUCUUCAACUAUCUAGACACGUAGGCAAUCACCCUACCGUCCUGCAUCAACACCGCUCCGAGGUCAAUCCUCGAGGCAUCACAAUAGACUAUAUAAGACCCCGAACCUGUAGGUAGUAUCAAAAUUGGGGUUGUGGUCAAAGCUGUCUUGAGCUUCUGAAAGUUCGCCUCACACUCCUCCAUCCACUGGAACGGAGCAACCUUCUAGGUCAACCUGGUCAUAGGGGCUACAAUCGAUGAAAACCGCUCCACAAAAUGUGUUAGUAACCCGCCAAGCCAAGGAAAUUGCAGAUCUCUGUAGCUAAGGAUGGUCUGGGCCAACUCUAUACGACCUCUAUCUUCUUCGAAUCAACAUGAAUACCCUCACUCGAUACCACGUGUCCUAAGAAUGCCACUGAAUCUAACCAAAACUCAGUGCGCAGGGAUCUAACAGAAUCCUGAUCCGUAGUUACAAAUAUAAAUACCCAGUACUGGGGGAAUCUACCGGGAGCAGUCCUGUAGUUCCAUAUAACUGUGCAGGGGGAUCUACCGGAAUCCCUCAUCUGUAGCCCCAAAUGAACAGACAAGGGGGAUCUACCGGAAUCCCACAUCCUUAGUUCCAAAUAAACAAACAAAGAGAAUCUACCAGAGUCCCAUAUCUGCAGUCCCAAUGUAAAUACACAACAACAACAGGAAAAUAUUCAGAAAUGGCAAAUUUCAUAUUAAGGCAACAAGUAAUUCUAGCCUAGCAUGCUGCACAGAAUUCAGGUAAGGCAGUUUGAGCAAAUAGAGCAAUUAAAUCACUUAGACAUGCUUUCCUAAGCUAAGACAGGCUUAAUAGUGCGAGUAAUAAAAACAAAAAAAGAAACAUACUAGUAAUUACUUAAUGAAAACCAGAUUUCAAAUUUCAUAUUAAGGCAACAAGUAAUUCUAGCCUAGCAUGCUGCGCAGAAUUCAGAUAAGGCAGUUUGAUCAAAUAAAGCAAAUAAAUCACUUAGACAUGAUUUCCUAAGCUACGACAGGCUUAAUAGUGUGAGUAAUAAAAACAGGAAAAGAAACAUACUAGUAAUUACUUAAUGAAAACCAGAUUUCCAACAAUUAGCACAAGUACGCACUAGUCACCUCACGUAUAAGGCAUUUCAAUUAUCAAAUAUACCAAAUCCUAAGGGGAAAGGUCUCUCACACAAGGUUAUGCAAGCCACUUACCUCGAACCGGCUCAAUAAUCAAUCCGAAACUAUGCUCUUACCACGAGUACUCAACUCCAAAUUACCCAAAUCUAUUCAAUUCAAUUGCAUAAUAUAAAUAACAUUUCAAGUAACUGAUUCUACAAAGAAAUUCUAAGCUAAUACGCAAAAUUAGGUAAAAUGACCAAAAAUCCCAUAGGGGCCCACGUCUCGAAAACGGGUAAAAUUUAUAUUUUCAGAAAAUUCGUACUCUCACGAGUCUAUACAUAAUAAGAACACUGAAAUCGGAGUUCAAUUGGCCCCUCAAAUACCUAUGUUAAGGUCUUUUAAUCUCAAGCCCUAAUUACCCAUUUUCCCCAAAUUUCUCACCACCAAUUAAGUCCUUAAUCACAUAUAAACGAGUUAUGAAGUCAAAAAUGUUAACUCUAGGUGAUUCCCCUUGAAUACCUCUUUAAUCCUCUUCAAAGAGCUCCAAAAUCGCUCAAAAAUGGUGGAAGAUAAACCCCAAAAUCGUGGACCAAAUGACUAUUUAAACAUUUUGCCCAGUCAUCAAAUCUUUCUUCGCGAACGCGAGGAUCUUUCUUCGCGAACGCGGUCAACGCCUCGCGUUCGCGAAGCACAAAUUUACUUUGGCUAAAAUUCCUUCAUCGCGAUCGCGACACACAACUCACGAACGCGAAGUCUUAGCUCUUAUAUUCAAUGCGAACACGACGUUUCUACCAUGUGUUUGAACGGUUGCAUGUUUCAUCCGGCAUUAACAAACCCUUUUUCGCUCUGCCUUUCACUCUUUAUUUUCUCAUUUUAUUUUUGUCGCUCUUUUAUUUUUGGGUCUCUUUUUUCUCUUUUUGUUUUUUCACUCCUUUAUUUUUUUUUGUCGUCCUUUUUUUCCCCUUUUUGUCACUCUUUUCUUUCUUUUCACUCAAUUUGUUUUUCAAUUUUUUUUUCUCUUAAUUAAUUUUAUGGCUAUGAUUGAAUCCGAUGGGGAUUGCCUACGUACAUGACACCGCAUGAAUCAGAUCAUUACGUAGUUUAGGAAGAUCAGGAAUAGAGGAAAUAAAUUAACUCUUUUUUCUGAUUUCUUUGACAUUUUUUAUAUGAAAAUCAUAUCACAAAGGCUUCUAACAAGGAAAAAUAUUUAGGAUUUUGAAUUUUGAAUUUUUUUUUCUUUUUUUUAUUGUUAUCUGAAAGAAAGAUCUCUACAAAUUCUUUUUCUUUUGUUUUGAAUCAUUGGGAAUUUCAAAAGAAAAAAAAUACUUUUGUUUGAAUUUCCAUUCGUUUUCUCUUCCUUUUUUAUAAAGAAGAAAGAAGAUAUUUUUGAAUUUUGAAUGAUGAUUCUGAAUUCUUGAAAGAGGGACUUUUAAGAAUUUUUUCUAAUUUAAUUUAAGAAAGUACUUCUAAAGAAAAGUGAAAAUAAUUUUUCUACUUUAAAUUUUUAAUUUUAUGACAUUUAUGAAAGAAGGACUUCUAAAGAAGAAAGAGAAUACUUUUUGGAUUUUUGUUUCUGAUUGUUUUUUUAAAAUAAAAAUACUUAUGAAGAAGGGAAAAACAAAUUUUUGGAUUUUGUUUGAUGAUUUUCUUUUGAAUGAAAGACUUCAAAAAGAAGGAAAAUAUUUUUGGGUUUUAAAAUUGUUUUUAGGUUUUCUAAGGAAAGGAAUUUUUUUUGACAAUUGAGGGUCGAAAUUGAUGAGGUUUGCCUACGUAUCUCACAUCCGGUGAGAAUCAGACUCGCGUAGUUUGGUCAGAAGUAAGAUAGAAGAAAUAUGACCUUUUAAAAAUAUUGGCGUAUUGUCUUUCUCUUUUUUUUUUCUAAAUCUUUGGCAGAGUUUCGAAUUUUUCAAAUACCUAUCUCUCAGUCUUGAUUUCUUUUUUCUUUUUCUUUUCUUUUUCUUUUAAAUUUCUUUCCAUAUUCUAGAAGCUGGUCAACAUACAAUCCAGAUCAAACAAAUGUACAAGUAACACGUAAAAUUCAUUAGGAUGGUCUUUUUAGUUUGGGAUGCACCCGUCCUAGCGGACCUAACCCCUGUGUUGAGUCCUUAAGGUCAAAUGCACGUGAUGCAAAUAAGCGUACCUACUAGGGAUCCGACAUGAGGCUAUGUCAUUAUAUGUUUUAAAACCUGAGUGUAUUGUUCUAGACCUGGCUUAUCCGAGCGGACGACUCGAGCCGAGGGGGGGCAGCGUACCGGGAAUACAGAAGCUUCACCGACUUUGCAACUUGUUGAAAUCUCGUUCUAAAAUUAGGAUAUGACUCUAACAGAAAAGAAGUCACGCGAAGCACGCUUCCUAGAAGAUUUAGAAGACCAAGAGAGAAGAAAUGUUUCGUAACAGUUUUAUAUACAGUUCAAACAAUAUCAAAGAGGUAAAAGCGGCAUUUAGCACGUUAGGCUCAAACACGUAAAAAUUAGAUAAUAAAUAAAAGCCAAGUAUAAUAGUUAUUCUAAGCUCGAAUUCUAAACUCUGAACUAGAGAUUCUGGGUUCGUUUCCCAGUAAAGUCGCCAUAGCUGUCAGAGCUGGCUUUUCAAGAGGGGAUAGAGAGUUUUUUCAAUUAAUGGGACAUUAUUUAAAAUGGGAUUAUUUAUUUGAUUCAAAGACGCCACUUGGAAUAAUUUAUGGUGUCCAAAAUCACCGGUUUAUUUUAAAUCCACAAUCGAGGAAAUCUGACUCUAUUUUAAAGUCAGCAAAACCAGAAGGCCGGGAAAGAAAUUCUGUUAACCCAGGAGAAGGUGUGAGGCACUCCCGAGUUCCGUGAUUUUAGCACGCACUCAAUUAUUAAUAAUUGGACUAAUUAUCUAAUUAAUUAUAUAUUUAUAACCCAUUGUGCAUUUUUAACUUCUAACCACUUCCAAUUAAUUUAAUCCCAUUUUAGUAUUUAUGGAAUUAUUUUUGGAAUAAGUCAUGAUACCGUACACUUAUCGUUUUGGUACACGUUGCAAAUCAUGCCACAUGAAAUGCACCCGCAAUUUACGACAUGUUUAUUUUUAUUAUUAUUUGAAGUUAUGGUCGAGUCACGUGAAAUGUGCACUCGAAUUGGGGAUUACGUAUCAUGACUAUACCACGGGAACCAUACUUAUAGUCACGAUAAUUAUUAUUAAUCGAGCCUAAAGCAAGCUACACAUUUGAAUGAUUCAAUUUAUUUCAAUCAUUAUGACUGCAUAUAGCUUGAAAUUUUAUGGAAAACAACAUUCAAUCAGAAAAAGGCAAAAGCAUUACAUGAUAUAUGAGAAAGACUGACCUCUUGUUUGAAGGAAUAUAUUACUUCUUCAGAAUAUUCUUCAUUUGCAAAUAUUUUAACAGCAACAUCAACAUAGAAAAAUGAACAGUAAUGAAACUCCUCAGCAAACCCAAAGAAUCGACGCCAAACCCGGAAGAACUCGAAACCAGUGUUCUGCUUCUUCUUUUUUCGAACUUUUGUUCUAAACUCUUAUUUUUUUCGAAUUUUUUCAGCUCUGCUUUUUUAAUCACAGAGUAUUUCGUGAAAGCUAGUGUGUUUGUGUGUGUGAGUCGUGAGUGAGAGGUGAGUGAAGCGAGUGUGGAGGUGAAAGUGAGGAUAGUCAUUCAAUGGAGGAAGGUUGUCCGUCUCUCUUGUUGAGCGAGAGAUCAGGAAAAAGAAAUAGGAGAAACAUCACUAGGGUGUUCAGGAGGGGGAAAGUCCAAUUUUCUAGGGCUUGUUUUUUGGAAAAUGGGGUUUUAAAGAGAGGGGAAGAGCUGGGCCAGGCGGGUUUGUGGGAUUGGUC
rnacentral:lncRNA from 1 species